CUAAUACAUGCAAGUCGAACGCUUCUUUCCUCCCGAGUGCUUGCACUCAAUUGGAAAGAGGAGUGGCGGACGGGUGAGUAACACGUGGGUAACCUACCCAUCAGAGGGGGAUAACACUUGGAAACAGGUGCUAAUACCGCAUAACAGUUUAUGCCGCAUGGCAUAAGAGUGAAAGGCGCUUUCGGGUGUCGCUGAUGGAUGGACCCGCGGUGCAUUAGCUAGUUGGUGAGGUAACGGCUCACCAAGGCCACGAUGCAUAGCCGACCUGAGAGGGUGAUCGGCCACACUGGGACUGAGACACGGCCCAGACUCCUACGGGAGGCAGCAGUAGGGAAUCUUCGGCAAUGGACGAAAGUCUGACCGAGCAACGCCGCGUGAGUGAAGAAGGUUUUCGGAUCGUAAAACUCUGUUGUUAGAGAAGAACAAGGACGUUAGUAACUGAACGUCCCCUGACGGUAUCUAACCAGAAAGCCACGGCUAACUACGUGCCAGCAGCCGCGGUAAUACGUAGGUGGCAAGCGUUGUCCGGAUUUAUUGGGCGUAAAGCGAGCGCAGGCGGUUUCUUAAGUCUGAUGUGAAAGCCCCCGGCUCAACCGGGGAGGGUCAUUGGAAACUGGGAGACUUGAGUGCAGAAGAGGAGAGUGGAAUUCCAUGUGUAGCGGUGAAAUGCGUAGAUAUAUGGAGGAACACCAGUGGCGAAGGCGGCUCUCUGGUCUGUAACUGACGCUGAGGCUCGAAAGC
rnacentral:rRNA from 1 species